rnacentral:rRNA from 1 species
AGCGAACGCUGGCGGCAGGCCUAACACAUGCAAGUCGAACGAACUCUUCGGAGUUAGUGGCGGACGGGUGAGUAACACGUGGGAACGUGCCUUUUGCUUCGGAAUAACUCCGGGAAACUGAGACUAAUACCGUAUAUGCCCUUCGGGGGAAAGAUUUAUCGCCAUUGGAUCGGCCCGCGUCUGAUUAGCUAGUUGGUGGGGUAACGGCCCACCAAGGCGACGAUCAGUAGCUGGUCUGAGAGGAUGACCAGCCACACUGGGACUGAGACACGGCCCAGACUCCUACGGGAGGCAGCAGUGGGGAAUCUUGGGCAAUGGGCGAAAGCCUGACGUAGCCAUGCCGCGUGAAUGAUGAAGGUCUUAGGAUUGUAAAACUCUUUCACCGGGGACGAUAAUGACGGUACCCGGAGAAGAAGCCCCGGCUAACUUCGUG